GUUUCCAUCCCUUCUAGGUAGACUAAAAAC
rfam:Desulfonauticus sp. 38_4375 PW_scaffold_463, whole genome shotgun sequence.